UGAAACCCUGAGACCUGGCGAUAGGCUU
rnacentral:sRNA from 1 species